CGGCGGACGGGUGAGUAACGCGUGGGUAACCUGCCUCAUACAGGGGAGUAACAGUUGGAAACGACUGCUAAUACCGCAUAAGCGCACAGUACCGCAUGGUACAGUGUGAAAAACUCCGGUGGUAUGAGAUGGACCCGCGUCUGAUUAGCUAGUUGGUGGGGUAACGGCCUACCAAGGCGACGAUCAGUAGCCGACCUGAGAGGGUGACCGGCCACAUUGGGACUGAGACACGGCCCAA
rnacentral:rRNA from 1 species